rnacentral:rRNA from 1 species
CGGCCUGGCGGCGAGUGGCGAACGGGUGAGUAAUAUAUCGGAACGUGCCCAAGAGUGGGGGAUAACGUAGCGAAAGUUACGCUAAUACCGCAUACGAUCCACGGAUGAAAGCAGGGGACCUUCGGGCCUUGUGCUCCUGGAGCGGCCGAUAUCUGAUUAGCUAGUUGGUGAGGUAAAGGCUCACCAAGGCGACGAUCAGUAGCUGGUCUGAGAGGACGACCAGCCACACUGGAACUGAGACACGGUCCAGACUCCUACGGGAGGCAGCAGUGGGGAAUUUUGGACAAUGGGGGCAACCCUGAUCCAGCAAUGCCGCGUGAGUGAAGAAGGCCUUCGGGUUGUAAAGCUCUUUUGUCAGGGAAGAAAAGGUCGUGGCUAAUAUCCACGGCUCAUGACGGUACCUGAAGAAUAAGCACCGGCUAACUACGUGCCAGCAGCCGCGGUAAUACGUAGGGUGCAAGCGUUAAUCGGAAUUACUGGGCGUAAAGCGUGCGCAGGCGGUUUUGUAAGUCUGACGUGAAAUCCCCGGGCUUAACCUGGGAAUGGCGUUGGAGACUGCAAGGCUGGAAUCUGGCAGAGGGGGGUAGAAUUCCACGUGUAGCAGUGAAAUGCGUAGAGAUGUGGAGGAACACCGAUGGCGAAGGCAGCCCCCUGGGCUAAGAUUGACGCUCAUGCACGAAAGCGUGGGGAGCAAACAGGAUUAGAUACCCUGGUAGUCCACGCCCUAAACGAUGUCUACUAGUUGUUGGGUCUUAAUUGACUUAGUAACGCAGCUAACGCGUGAAGUAGACCGCCUGGGGAGUACGGUCGCAAGAUUAAAA